GAGCUGAAUCAGAUGUUAGCAGCACAUAUACUAAAAUUGGACCGAUACAGAGAUUAGUACGGCCCCUGCCAAGGAUGAAAUGCAAAUUCGUGAAGUGUUCCAUAUUAAU
ensembl:snRNA U6 U6 spliceosomal RNA